CGAAACUGUUGUCUCACUUUCAUCAAUAAAUCUAAUGCAGAUGAAAAAAGCUAUCACUAAGCGUGCAGCUCUUCUGAAGGAUACUAAUCUUAUUGAAAUAGUAAAAUAGUAAGGGGUAAACACCAAUGUUAUUGUUAUAUAGUUUUUUGAUUAGGAAAGUUAUCACUGAUCUUUUGAAAUAAUAGAUUUUAAGCUAAAAUCUUCUGUGAUAUAUAUUUUCACAAAAGUAGAGGGAUCUGAUUGAAAAUGUAUUAACAGUGGCAGUUUAGGAUUAUUUUUCAUAUGCACCAGUGUGUAAUGAUUAUAUAUGUUUGAGGGAAAUAAUUAGCUACAGAUUAUUACUUUUUUUCUGUAUUAAUAUAUGCAACACUGAUUUAUCUUUCAAUUCUUAUAGACCAUGUUGUAAUUAAAUUAUUUUUCAGAGAUGUGUAUUGAUACAUACAGUAUUAAACAGAAGAUUGAUUGCAUUAUUUGUGAAGUUUAUGCUUCUUUUGUAAUUUCUAUUGUGAAUAAAUAUAUUAUAUUAGAUUAUUAAGUA